GGGCCUGUCUCGGCUUCGACGGGGAAGGGAGGGCAGUGUAAGCAUACCGGAGGCUCGUCUCCGCAAAUACGGAAAUUAAAAUUAAACGCAGAAAAUAAAACCGAGAGCUACAACGGCUCUCUUGCCUUCGCAGCUUAAUUUAGCAAGGCUGUCGGCUGAAGUUUCCACGGCUUCAUUACCGGCAUCGGACUAGUGGAACAGGGCGCGUCGCUAUGCCCAAGGCAACGCGCAAGACUUUUGGGCUUGCCAAAAGGCGAGUUUGCCGCUUAACUCGCCCAAGGGAGAUUGAUAAUCGGCUAAGUAUGUAGAAAACGCUGUGCAAAGUUUCUCGGACAGGGGUUCGAUUCCCCUCAGGUCCACCA
rnacentral:tmRNA from 1 species